AAUAUUAACCUGCUGUCUGGCAUCGCAGACAGGAAAAAACCCGGGGUGCAUCCGCCAUUGGGAUUACGGCCCCGCUGUCUCACCGUCGAUUUACAAACAGCACACUCCCCUUUUUUAAUUAUUUACUUUUUGUUUUCAAGAUUUACGGCUUGCUCUCACAUAGAAAGCUCCGGACUGAACAGCAGCGCUUGUCUAAAGAGCUAUCCUUUUAACGUGGAGUGAAAUUGUACUGGUCGAAGGUAUUAAAGCUGGUGAGGAGGCGUUCCUUUCGGGCCUUCAACAUGGACCGUGUCCUGUCAUCCUGUCAGUGCCACUGAAAGCGAGCAUCAGCUGGCUGCUACAAUCUCUGCUGGGUUCCCAUUAGUGGAAACAGAAGUCCAGAAAAAUCUUUCCUGACUCUCAGGAUGACUUUGCGGAGUUCCAGGAGAAAUGCUAAAGCAAGCUCUUAUGGAGAA